CACGCGGCGGCGCAUGUGUCAAAGUUGGCGCGAAAAGUGGGACGUGUUUCUCGUGUUCCUGCGGAGAAACAGCUGUCUCUAUUCCGCGGCGAAUCCCUUGGCAGCAGGAAAAUUAGGUACGGAUUCCUCUAGUCUCGAUCGGAGAUGCCCGUCACGAAUUAGCAUUUAUAUCACCGUGGUACCGUGCAACGAGGUGGAAAUGGAAUAUCCAGAACGCCGUGAUAGAGACUCGCCCGGUCUUCCUGCCACGAAUUAAUACGUCCGUGUCUCCUCCAGCUGGAAUCGAUCGUCUUGUAACAGAAACUCGAAGCGGAUUUCUACGGCGAACAGGGGCCCGAUCAACAAGCUGCUCGUUCCUUCGGCUUCUUCUCGACAAAUGGAUUGUACCUGUUUCCUCUGGACGCCUGUUUCAUCAACCACGGCGUCAGCGUUCCGUCUCAAUAAUCAUUGCGGUCUUUCACGUCAUCGCGAGCAAGCGUAAAAUCGUAAUCCAAUUUGUCUGCGGAGGCCGCAACGAGCGAACGAAGGCGACGCGGCCCGGUCGAAUGAAGUCGUCGCGCAUCCCUGGCCUGGGCCGCCCGUUUAAUCAUCAUAAAUUUCGCGAGGAAACCGCAAACCAUCGUUCUCCCUUACGUCCACUUUGUCCCGGGGCCCGCGAGGCCGCUUCAAACGUGUCACGACGUUCCACGCGUGUUUCUCGCCGUGGUUUCACUUUGGACAGCCAUCCACCGCUUCGUUUUUGUCGGGAUGCAGGUGUUAGAAGGCUUGGUUGCACGCAGAUCUUCGUUCCAAGCGGACGUUCUACAGGAAAUUUAUGACUCGAAUAAAACAACCGUAAAAUGGAAACUAAUCUGCAAAGUAGAACCUAAUGGAAGCGAUGCAGGUACUAGGAUGUAACGACGUUGUUCUGAAAUAAUGGCAAAACGUAAUCAUUUAAGUGGUUACACGCGAGCGUGACGGUUUUCUAACCAGACCAGAGGUUUUAAGACGUUAAUACGCCAUUGAGAAUGUAAAUCAACUGGGAUGUUCGCGAUUAUAUUUCAACGACACCGUCGAAAGAAUAUUAUCCUGUUUACCAGCAGGAUGGUGUACACUGUACAGCAAUCGUUGUGUGGUAAAUGUGACAAGGAACGAGCAGGUAGCAAGAACAAGCACUAAAAGUCUUACUUUAUUCCACGUGCGCUGGCAGUAAAGAUAAUUUCUGAAGCUGAUUGGAUCAUUACUUAUCCGCAGUUAGAAGUUGCUCGCACGGAAUCGAGUUCUAGCUAAAAAGAAGCCCACGCCUAAAUAGACAGGACUCUAUAAUAAUAACAACGAGGUGAAAUAUUCUAGUUUAUAGUUGCAAUUACAUUGAGAUAUUUUUCUUGCAAUUGCAUUGAAAUAUCCUUUUU
rnacentral:misc_RNA from 1 species